rnacentral:rRNA from 1 species
AUUGAACGCUGGCGGCAGGCUUAACACAUGCAAGUCGAGCGGGGUGAUGGUGCUUGCACUAUCACUUAGCGGCGGACGGGUGAGUAAUGCUUAGGAAUCUGCCUAUUAGUGGGGGACAACAUCUCGAAAGGGAUGCUAAUACCGCAUACGUCCUCCGGGAGAAAGCAGGGGAUCACUUGUGACCUUGCGCUAAUAGAUGAGCCUAAGUCGGAUUAGCUAGUUGGUGGGGUAAAGGCCUACCAAGGCGACGAUCUGUAGCGGGUCUGAGAGGAUGAUCCGCCACACUGGGACUGAGAAACGGCCCAGACUCCUACGGGAGGGAGCAGUGGUGAAUAUUGGACAAUGGGGGGAACCGUGAUCCAGCCAUGCCGCGUGUGUGAAGAAGGCCUUAUGGUUGUAAAGAACUUUAAGCGAGGAGGAGGCUCUUUUGGUUAAUACCCAAGAUGAGUGGACGUUACUCGCAGAAUAAGCACCGGCUAACUCUGUGCCAGCCGCCGCCGUAA